UACGAAGGGGGCUAGCGUUGCUCGGAAUUACUGGGCGUAAAGGGCGCGUAGGCGGAUAGUUUAGUCAGAGGUGAAAGCCCAGGGCUCAACCUUGGAAUUGCCUUUGAUACUGGCUAUCUUGAGUUCGGGAGAGGUGAGUGGAAUGCCGAGUGUAGAGGUGAAAUUCGUAGAUAUUCGGCGGAACACCAGUGGCGAAGGCGACUCACUGGCCCGAUACUGACGCUAAGGCGCGAAAGCGUGGGGAGCAAACAGG
rnacentral:rRNA from 1 species